UACGUAGGGUGCAAGCGUUGUCCGGAAUCAUUGGGCGUAAAGCGCGCGUAGGUGGUCAUGUAAGUCCGCUGUGAAAGUCAAAGGCUCAACCUUUGAAAGCCGGUGGAUACUGCAUGACUAGAGUACGGAAGAGGCGAGUGGAAUUCCUGGUGUAGCGGUGGAAUGCGCAGAUAUCAGGAGGAACACCGGUGGCGAAGGCGGCAUCCUGGACCGGCAUUGACGCUGAGGCGCGAAAGCCAGGGGAGCAAACGGG
rnacentral:rRNA from 1 species